rnacentral:rRNA from 1 species
GAUGAACGCUGGCGGCGUGCUUAACACAUGCAAGUCGAACGAUGAAGCCCAGCUUGCUGGGUGGAUUCGUGGCGAACGGGUGAGUAACACGUGAGUAACCUGCCCUUAACUCUGGGAUAAGCCUGGGAAACUGGGUCUAAUACCGGAUAGGAGCGUCCCCCGCAUGGUGGGUGUUGGAAAGAUUUAUCGGUUUUGGAUGGACUCGCGGCCUAUCAGCUUGUUGGUGAGGUAAUGGCUCACCAAGGCGACGACGGGUAGCCGGCCUGAGAGGGUGACCGGCCACACUGGGACUGAGACACGGCCCAGACUCCUACGGGAGGCAGCAGUGGGGAAUAUUGCACAAUGGGCGCAAGCCUGAUGCAGCGACGCCGCGUGAGGGAUGACGGCCUUCGGGUUGUAAACCGCUUUCAGUAGGGAAGAAGCGAAAGUGACGGUACCUGCAGAAGAAGCACCGGCUAACUACGUG